CAGUCUGUGUGUGUGUGUGUAUUUAGCAGUCUGUGUGUGUAUUCAGCAGUCUGCUAAAUACAGACAGACUGCUAAGUACACAGACAGACUG